GGGUGGAGCACAGCUUGCACUGCAAGGGAAUGAAGCCAAUGCGAAGGCCCAGAGGGAAGGGAAGCGUUGUCAGAGUCUGGUGGAGAAGACACAAGAAUUUGGAGACAGCAGAGGAUACAGAGAGUCAGCCAAAUAAACUGGUUGGAUCACCUGUUCCAGUGCUUCCUACCACCAUACAGAACCUUCAUAAAUACCACUCAAAGAAGGCUCACUAUCAAUACUGUUGGUCCGUUUUCUCUGGAGGAGAAUGUGUCUCUGCUGGCUAAGGCUUUCUUUAUCUCGUCCCACUCUACUACAGCCUGCAGACCCACCCAAGACUGAGGGUGCUCAAAGCUCAGAAGGCAAAGGACUCCUUGCCACUCAACAGUAUCAGCUCAACACCUCAGCCAAGAAGAAUCAGGGAGCACAGGCACACACUCACCAUGCUGAACAGACAGCGAGGACCACAUUUUUAUUAUCUGAUUCCUAUUUGACCAUCUGAUGUGCAAAUUUUACCUAUCAUGUUGCCUUUGCUCCAGAUCUAGGUGAGAUCAGAUGGAAUGGAGGCUCCAUCUGGUCUUCAGGAAGUCUCAAGUUUUCACUGAUCUACAUAAAAUCUCAGAGCAAGGCAAUUUGGAUUGAGUGAGUCCAAACCCAGUGCCUUCUCCUUUGACCCUGGCACAGAUACACUGGCCAAGAGAUGGGUCCAAAGUCAUCCCACUCCAUCAAAGCCAUCACUGUCAGGAGUGAUAACAUAGCCCACAUUUUUCAUAUGUUUUCAAGAUCUCAAAAUUUCUACUGAAUAUUACAGGAGGGCAGGUGCCUUUAUCCGCCAGUACAUCAUCUUCAAUAUCAGUGAUUUUCAAUUUCCUGCUUCCAUUCAAUUGAAUACUUUGUUGGAAAAAAUUACAUGUGAAGUCCACUAUAGAAAAUAAAUUUGUAACAACUGG
rnacentral:lncRNA from 1 species